CUGGCUCAGGAUGAACGCUGGCGGCGUGCUUAACACAUGCAAGUCGAACGGGAUCCAUCGGGCUUUGCUUGGUGGUGAGAGUGGCGAACGGGUGAGUAAUGCGUGACCGACCUGCCCCAUGCUCCGGAAUAGCUCCUGGAAACGGGUGGUAAUGCCGGAUGUUCCACAUGAUCGCAUGUGAUUGUGGGAAAGAUUCUAUCGGCGUGGGAUGGGGUCGCGUCCUAUCAGCUUGUUGGUGAGGUAACGGCUCACCAAGGCUUCGACGGGUAGCCGGCCUGAGAGGGCGACCGGCCACAUUGGGACUGAGAUACGGCCAGACUCCUACGGGAGGCAGCAGUGGGGAAUAUUGCACAAUGGGCGCAAGCCUGAUGCAGCGACGCCGCGUGAGGGAUGGAGGCCUUCGGGUUGUAAACCUCUUUUGUUUGGGAGCAAGCCUUCGGGUGAGUGUACCUUUCGAAUAAGCGCCGGCUAACUACGUGCCAGCAGCCGCGGUAAUACGUAGGGCGCAAGCGUUAUCCGGAUUUAUUGGGCGUAAAGGGCUCGUAGGCGGCUCGUCGCGUCCGGUGUGAAAGUCCAUCGCUUAACGGUGGAUCUGCGCCGGGUACGGGCGGGCUGGAGUGCGGUAGGGGAGACUGGAAUUCCCGGUGUAACGGUGGAAUGUGUAGAUAUCGGGAAGAACACCGAUGGCGAAGGCAGGUCUCUGGGCCGUCACUGACGCUGAGGAGCGAAAGCGUGGGGAGCGAACAGGAUUAGAUACCCUGGUAGUCCACGCCGUAAACGGUGGACGCUGGAUGUGGGGCACGUUCCACGUGUUCCGUGUCGGAGCUAACGCGUUAAGCGUCCCGCCUGGGGAGUACGGCCGCAAGGCUAAAACUCAAAGAAAUUGACGGGGGCCCGCACAAGCGGCGGAGCAUGCGGAUUAAUUCGAUGCAACGCGAAGAACCUUACCUGGGCUUGACAUGUUCCCGACGACGCCAGAGAUGGCGUUUCCCCUCGGGGCGGGUUCACAGGUGGUGCAUGGUCGUCGUCAGCUCGUGUCGUGAGAUGUUGGGUUAAGUCCCGCAACGAGCGCAACCCUCGCCCCGUGUUGCCAGCACGUUAUGGUGGGAACUCACGGGGGACCGCCGGGGUUAACUCGGAGGAAGGUGGGGAUGACGUCAGAUCAUCAUGCCCCUUACGUCCAGGGCUUCACGCAUGCUACAAUGGCCGGUACAGCGGGAUGCGACAUGGCGACAUGGAGCGGAUCCCUGAAAACCGGUCUCAGUUCGGAUCGGAGCCUGCAACCCGGCUCCGUGAAGGCGGAGUCGCUAGUAAUCGCGGAUCAGCAACGCCGCGGUGAAUGCGUUCCCGGGCCUUGUACACACCGCCCGUCAAGUCAUGAAAGUGGGCAGCACCCGAAGCCGGUGGCCUAACCCCUUGUGGGAUGGAGCCGUCUAAGGUGAGGCUCGUGAUUGGGACUAAGUCGUAACAAGGUA
rnacentral:rRNA from 1 species